rnacentral:rRNA from 1 species
GUGUCCAAGUGCUCCUUGACUGGGACCAUGGCCCGUAGAGGGUGAUAGGCCCGUGAGACCGUUGGAUUGCUGCGCUGGCUUUUCCCUAGAGUCGAGUUGUUUGGGAGUACAGCUCAAAGUGCGAGGUAAACUCCUCGUAAGGCUAAAUAUGACCCCGAUACCGAUAGCGAACCAGUACCGUGAGGGAAAGUUGAAAAGCACUUUGAAGAGAGAGUUCAAGACUACGUGAAACUGUGUAGUAGUAAACGGAUGGGCUCUCGAAGUCGGCGUUGACGGGUCAUGGUGUCGGCCGGUGAGUCUGGGGGUUGUUGAUCUGCAAAGACUUCACUCUUAGGUCGCGCUGGUUGCCGCUUGCACUCCGUUGGCGCCUCACGCUACGAACCGUUCGGACCGGACCGAGGCUGUGGGUGAAGUUUCAGGCCUAGCUUGGAGCCCCGCAUUCCUGGMUCUGGACCGGACGGGUAAUGGAGCGGUCUCUUAUAGAGAGUGUCUUAAUGGCACGGGCUGCAUCUCUGUGCGAAGUAGGUCGGCGGCCCCUCCGACCCGUCUUGNAACACGGAC